rnacentral:lncRNA from 1 species
UGCCGCAAAAGGAGGAACCCAGUGAAUUCGAGAGUCAGAAGAACCCGGUAGAAUUUGGGAUACCCGAUGAUCCGCUCUUGAGGAUAUGGUUCAACCAAGAACAGCUCGUAGACGACCUCCUAAGCUGCAGCCAACCCAGCCAGACAUAGAAAUCCGAGGCGAAUAACACCCGCAAGACAAGGCCGAGACAUUAUUCAGGAAGGAAGAACCGCUGAGA